GUGGGGAAUAUUGGACAAUGGGCGAAAGCCUGAUCCAGCCAUGCCGCGUGUGUGAAGAAGGUCUUCGGAUUGUAAAGCACUUUAAGUUGGGAGGAAGGGCAGUAAGUUAAUACCUUGCUGUUUUGACGUUACCAACAGAAUAAGCACCGGCUAACUUCGUGCCAGCAGCCGCGGUAAUACGAAGGGUGCAAGCGUUAAUCGGAAUUACUGGGCGUAAAGCGCGCGUAGGUGGUUCAGCAAGUUGGAGGUGAAAUCCCCGGGCUCAACCUGGGAACUGCCUCCAAAACUACUGAGCUAGAGUACGGGAGAGGGUAGUGGAAUUUCCUGUGUAGCGGUGAAAUGCGUAGAUAUAGGAAGGAACACCAGUGGCGAAGGCGACUACCUGGACUGAUACUGACACUGAGGUGCGAAAGCGUGGGGAGCAAACAGGAUUAGAUACCCCUGUAGUCC
rnacentral:rRNA from 1 species